GCCGAAGUGGCGGAAUUGGUAGACGCGCACGAUUCAGGUUCGUGUGAGCGCAAGCUUGUGAGAGUUCGAGUCUCUCCUUCGGCACCA
rnacentral:tRNA from 1 species